GACGAACGCUGGCGGCGUGGAUUAGGCAUGCAAGUCGAGCGAGAACCCAGCAAUGGGGACAGCGGCGCAAGGGACAGUAAUGUGUAGAUUAUCUGCCCUCGGGUCCGGGAUAGCUGCGGGAAACUGCAGGUAAUACCGGAUAACAUCUCCGGAUCAAAGGUGUGAUUCCGCCCGAGGAUGAGUCUGCAUCCUAUUAGCUAGUUGGCAGGGUAAUGGCCUACCAAGGCGAUGAUGGGUAGCGGGUGUGAGAGCACGACCCGCGUCAUUGGGACUGAGACACUGCCCCGACACCUACGGGUGGCUGCAGUCGAGAAUCUUCGGCAAUGGGCGCAAGCCUGACCGAGCGACGCCGCGUGUGGGAUGAAGGCCUUCGGGUUGUAAACCACUGUCAGAGGGGAUGAAAUGCAGGUGGGUUCUCCCAUCUGUUUGACAUAGCCUCAGAGGAAGGACGGGCUAAGUUCGUGCCAGCCGCCGCGGUAAGAC
rnacentral:rRNA from 1 species